AGCUCCGUCAUGGGGAUGAUGUGGCCCUCGCCGAAGCUCGGGUACAUCACCACGGUCUGUCGCUGCUCCGCCUUGGGCGCCAUGGCGUUCUUCUCCUUCAUGGACGCCGGCGCUGAUGUGGGACGGAGUGGAUGGACAUGGUGCCUCGCACGAGAAGAAAGCAGCUGAUAACUUGGCUGUCGGUGGCAAAGGUGGCUGAAAGCUUUAUGGGCGGGAGGAUGCCUUUCCUGGAGGUUGCAGCCUCAAUAAUUCUUGGGAGAAGUUGCUCAAAAAAAAUCUUGACAGAAGGCAAAGAAUAGUCAAUAGACAUGCAACGUGCAGCUGGCUGGUUGCUUUGCAGCUGGCUGCUGCUGCAGCAGAGAGCUGCUGCCUGCUGCAGCUUGCGUGCUACAGCAGCUGCUGCGAUAGAGAGCCGAGCAGCAGCAGUCAGCCGAACACGCUGUACUCCCAGCACUUUUUCUCCCUGAAGAAAGGAUAAGGACUCGGUGUACAAAAGUUGUCCUUAUUUUAAAUCAAAAACACUUGUUGUUUAUGCUAGUUAAACUAA